rnacentral:rRNA from 1 species
AUUGAACGCUGGCGGCAGGCUUAACACAUGCAAGUCGAGCGGUAGCACAGGGGAGCUUGCUCCCUGGGUGACGAGCGGCGGACGGGUGAGUAAUGUCUGGGAAACUGCCUGAUGGAUGGGGAUAACUACUGGAAACGGUAGCUACUACCGCAUAACGUCGCAAGACCAAGGAGGGGGACCUUCGGGCCUCUUGCCUUCAGAUGUGCCCAGAUGGGAUUAGCUAGUAGGUGGGGUAAUGGCUCACCUAGGCGACGAUCCCUAGCUGGUCUGAGAGGAUGACCAGCCACACUGGAACUGAGACACGGUCCAGACUCCUACGGGAGGCAGCAGUGGGGAAUAUUGCACAAUGGGCGCAAGCCUGAUGCAGCCAUGCCGCGUGUGUGAAGAAGGCCUUCGGGUUGUAAAGCACUUUCAGCGAGGAGGAAGGUGGUGAGGUUAAUACGUUCAUCAAUUGACGUUACUAGCAGAAGAAGCACCGGCUAACUCCGUG